GGGGUGGCGGGCCGGCCUCCGGGCCCUGGACUCACCGCCGCUCCCCGCCGGGUGCCGCGUCCGGAGCAUCGGGCCCAGCGCCGGGCCGCCGCGCCGGAGCAGCCGGAAGUGGGGCGGCACCCGGAAGUGAGGCGUGCCCGGAAGCGAAGGUCCUUUGGGCUCUCGCGGGAAUGACGAGAGUCUCGUGGCCUCUGAGCCGCGGCGGCUGGUAACCAGGGCGACGGCGGGUGGGGCGGGCCGCCGGCUCCCAGCUCUCUAGGUGCUCCCAGUGCCGGAGCGUCCGCCUCGCGGGCCGUGCGGGGUCCGAGCCGCCCCCAGAUUGCCGCUGCUGCUUUCUUAGGUCAGUGGAAGUGUGAAGUCACCUGUGGCCCCUGCUCUGUGUGUGCCAUGGCAGAGGUGCCACCAAUGAGGAGUCAGAAAUUGCUAGCGCUGGGCUCACGCGCCGCAGACCACGCCAUCCCAGACCGUCUCUGUGAGGCGUAGCUCUGUCCAUCUCCGGUGGUGGAAGCAGAUUCCGCAAGGCUGAGCGAGGUCUGUCGAGUAGGAAGAGGGGGACUUGCAUCAAGGUCUGUUUAAUCUGGAAGCCCCUGGGAGGAGGGAGCUGUUGUGUGUACAGAACCUUCAGGACUUUGAGUAAUCCCUUCUUUUUCCUGGGGGUGUGGUGUAGGAGGUGAGUAAGCAGCUGUGGCAUACUGUGUGUGUGAUCACACUCAUCAUGGUGAGUAAACAGACCGUCGUCUGUGUAACACACCAACACCUUCAUUGUCUUCUGCGUCC